rnacentral:rRNA from 1 species
UACGAAGGGGGCUAGCGUUGCUCGGAAUUACUGGGCGUAAAGGGCGCGUAGGCGGCACUGUUAGUCAGGCGUGAAAGCCCCGGGCUCAACCUGGGAAUGGCAUUCGAGACUGCAUAGCUAGGAUGCGGAAGAGGGAAGCGGAAUUUCCGGUGUAGCGGUGAAAUGCGUAGAUAUCGGAAGGAACAUCAGUGGCGAAAGCGGCUUCCUGGUCCAGCAUCGACGUUCAGGCACGAAAGCGUGGGGAGCAAACAGG